rnacentral:lncRNA from 1 species
UCAGAUCCUAGAAAAUACACAAAAGUUUCUGCAUUACUUUCAUUAAACAUUGGUUGGAAUUGUUCUCUGAUUUUUCUUUUAGUAAGAACUUAAAGCUUUUCGUGGAAUUUCUGGAUUUCUGGGUAUAUAGAUGGUCUAAAGAGGCUGAACAUUGCUGGUGGCUUGCUGUUUUGCUCACUUUUCUGCUUGUGCUGAAAUCCUUGCUCCUUUUUUUUUUGUUCUUGAUUUCCAGGUAUGUUCAUGAGCUCGAAGUGAUAAAAAUAGGCUUGUAAUCUGCUGAUUUAGAAUUGGAUUCACUAUAUUUAUUUAGCUCAAUGUUUUCUAUGCUAUUGAUCUAUAUCACCUAGAAUCUAUAACUGCUUUAGUUUUUGCUUAAGUAUUGUUGAUACAGAUGUUGGUAUAUUUGUAUGGUUUAAACAUUUAAGCUGAUUUAGUUCAUUCAUAGGUGGUUUAACAAUUUGCUAUACAUAGUAAUUUUAAUUAUUUGAGACUUUGUCAAAGUUUGUUAAAUAUACAUUCAUAUGUUUGGAUUGUUAAGCAUGACAGUAUGUGUAGAUCAAAUGUUAGUCCAUGAAUGAAUUUCAGAAAAUUGAUCUCCUGUUAAUUGAUAGCAACAACAUGCUUAUUAGAACCAUUGUAUAUGUAAUAGUAUAAUUAAUGAGUAGUUUCAUAAUCCACGUUCAUUAACAGUAACGCAAUGAUUUAAAGGUUUAUCAUAUGGUUGUUUAGUGUUGCGAUUUUCAGAAUUUGCAUAGUAUGUUGUUGUGUGUGAAGUAUAGUCAGAUGGGCCUCAUUAGAGCCUUAGCAUUUGAAUUAUCAUUGCCAAGCAUUUUGGGUGGAGUUGGACCAAAUGGGAUCGCCUGGGUUGUGGCCUGUUUCGUUUGGCUCUUGCUAUCUCCAUUCUUUCAUUUGGUCUCAAUCUCGAACCCAGCCAUCAUCAGUGUGUGUUUUCUCUAAACAACCUCCUUCGAGUAAUGCAGUGGGCCUAGAUCUGUUGGCCCACUUGAAAAGAGGCGACCGUCUGCCUGGCUUCACUUCUGGGCUCGAUCUUGGGCCUAGUUUUUCUUUCAAUUAAUUUUGGGUUUAAGCUCAAACCAGGAUUUUCUUAAUUAGUUAAAGACCCAGAAUUCUUUUAAAUAAAUAAAUACCUAGUAUAUUAUCCAAAAUAUGCUUAUAAUUAAUAGGGUUAAAUUGAACUUUAGUUGUAUUAAGCCUGAACAUCCUUAAUUUGCUUUGGUAGAAUACAUUUCUCUUCUUUAAAUGAAUCAAGGUGUGACAUCCAAUCACAUAGCCUAUGGCCCUCACAUUAAUAGUAUAACUUAGAUACUAAAAAUAAAUAUUCGUAGUUUGCUUUAGGCGAGUUAUUAAAUAAAUUAUCAUAGGUACGGGUACGGUUCCCGUGACGUAGUUGUGAUUUGUAAUUUUCAAAUUCGGGUGCACAUUUCAUGUGACCCGACUUCAAUUUCCAACAUUGUUAAAUAAUAAAACGUGUCGUAAACCGCGGGUGCAUUUCAUGUAGCGUAAUUUAUGAUGUGUUUUCAACAAUCAUGAAUUUUCCUAAAAAUAUUAAGAGCAGUUAGAAAGUUUUUUUAAAAAAAAAUGCACGUAGGUUUAAAAUGUGUAAUAAAUCAGAUAAUUAGGCCAAUUAUUAAUAGUUAAGCGACCGUGCUAGAAUCACGGAACCCGGGAAUACCUAACACCUUCUCCCUGGAUAAUAGAAUUCUUUAUCUAGAAUUUCUGGUUUUGCAGACUUUUAAAUAAAAUCGAUUUUCCUCGAUUUGGGAUUUAAAAUAAACCGGUGACUUGGGACACCCAAAUAAACUAUUCCAAGUGGCGACCCUAAAAAUUAAAUAAAAUAAUUCCAUUUCGAUUAAUGUCACUUAAAUUGGAAAGACUCCCUUAUAUACCUCCUCGAGUGGUAAAAAGGAGGUGUGACAAUGCAGAAUCAAUAAAAUCAAAUUUAUGGAAAAAUAGGUAAAAUCCUAAUUUUAGGGAAAUCAAAUAUUGACCGAAAUAUAACAAAAAUCGGUCACACAGUAGAAUAUAGGAUGAACAUAGACAUAAUAACACUUAAAAUCAGAGAAUCGAACCUAUUUUGGUUCGAUUUAAAGAGAUAUGAAAACCCAAGUUUUAGGGUAAGUAAGAAUCUCAAAGAUAACACAAAGAUUCAUAGAGAUUCAUACCAUAAAAGAACAAGAACGAACACAGACGGAAAAAGGUCAAGGAACUAAACCAGUUUUGGUUCGAAAUUGAAGAGAUCUGCUUGUCAUGUUUAGGCAAGCAACUAGGUAAUACCAUAAAUGAGUAACCAGUAGUGAGGGGAGGUAAAUAAGGCAAGAGAAUCCAUGGUGGAUUCCAUUUUGGGGUCGGAUUUAGAGGGGUUAAGAGAGAUGGCAGCUAGGGUUCGUGAGAGAUGAGAGAUGAGAGAGUUCCAGGGUGGCGAGGUGGUGAAGAGUGACUUAGGGUUAGGGGGAUUUGGUUAAUUAAAAAGGGUAGGGGUAAUAUGGGUUGUUGAUCCCAGAGAUCAACGACCAUGAUUAGUUGGGGGUUCUAGGUCGGGUUAGUUUAGCCGGUUGGGCUGGAGGUUAUUUGAUUUGGGCUCAGGAACUAUUGGGCUGGAGCUGGGUAGUUGAGGUCCUAAAUUAAUGAGGAAUUUAGGGCUAAAUUUUAAAUACCCGAUUUUAAUCAAAUAAAUAAUUUAUAAAAGUGAUAAAUAAAUAACAAAAAUAUCAUUUGUCCCUAAAAAUGAUUAAAAUAAUUACCUAAUAUUAUAACAAUGUAAAAAAUUAUUUUUGCAUAAAUAAUGUAAUUAUACAUGUAUAUGGGUCAUUAUUGCAAAAAUGUGCAAUUAGCCUUAAAAAUGCAAAAUGUAAUUUAAAAAUGCAUUGAAAAUAUUAAAACCUCAUGUUGGUAUAAAUGAUAAUUUAAGAUGAUUAAAUCAUCAUGAAAUAAUUUGGAGGAUAAUUAUUGGAUAUUUAUAUAUAAUAAAAUGCAGGAAUAAAUUGGUUUAAAGUCUUUAAAAAUUAUGAAAAAUAUUCGUUCAUGCUUAUAAAUCAAAUGAUGAUGCAUAUGCACUAUUUUGAAGGUGUGUGUGUAUAUAAAUAAUAUGAGGAAAAAAUUGGGUAUCAACGCUCCUCCUCCAAACGAGACAAGUGGUCCGCAACUUGGUUUUCACUACCUUUUCUAUCUUGGGAUGUCUAUAUCAACUUCUUUCAACAAGAGCACAAUCAGCCGAGCUUUGGAGUCAUUUUUGCUCAUAAGAUAACGAAUAGCCGCAUGAUCCUUGUUGACAAUGACUUUUGCACCCAUCAAGUACGGGUGGAACUUCUCAAUUGCAAACACAAUAGCAAGAAGCUCUUUCUCCGUAACGGUAUAGCUGACUUGGGCACUAUUCAUGGUAUUACUAGCACAGUAGACCAGAUGAAAAUAUUUGUUGAUGUGUUUCCCCAAAACAGCCCCAUCUGCUACGUCACUUGCAUCACAUAUGAGUUCAAAAGGCACGCUCCAAUUUGGGGCGGUGAUGGUGGGAGUAGUUGUCAACUUGAGCUUCAACAAUUCAAAAUCUCUCAUGCAAUCAUCAUUAAAAUGAAACUUAACAUCCUUCUCAAGAAGCUUGCACAAUGGGUUCACCACCUUAGAGAGGUUUUUGAUGAAGCACCUGUAAAAACCCGUGUGGCCUAAGAAACUCCAUACACCCUUCAUCGAAGUUGGGGGUGGAAGCUCAGAAAUCACCUCAAUCUUUUCCUUGUCAACUUCAAUUCCAUUCCUUGAGAUUUUGUGGCCAAGGACAAUACCUUCCUCGAUCAUGAAAUGGCAUUUCUCCCAAUUGAGAACUAAAUUUGUUUCUUCACAUCUAGCCAAUAUUUUGUCCAAAUUUGCAAGACAGUCAUUAAUAGAAUCUCCAAACACCGAGAAGUCGUCCAUAAGAACUUCAAGGUAGUCCUCCACCAUGUCCGCAAAAAUAGCCAUCAUACACCUUUGAAAAGUCAUCGGUGCAUUACACAAAUCAAAUGUCACCCGCUUGAAAGAAAAAGUACCAUAGGGACAUGUAAAGGUUGUGUUCUCUUGAUCUUCCGGAGCAAUGAGAAUUUGGUUGUAGUCCGAGUACCCAUCAAGAAAGCAAAAUAAAGCACGGCCAGCUAAUUUAUUGAGCAUUUGAUCGAAGAAAGGAAGUGGAAAGUGAUCCUUCCUUUUGACUUUGUUGAGCUUGUGAUAGUCCAUACACACCCUUCAACUGGUCACUGUUCUAGUAGGAAUCAAAUCAUUCUUAUCAUUGGUGACCACCGUCAUGCCCCCUUCUUUUGGGACACAUUGAACAGGAGAAGUCCACGAACUAUCAAAGAUGGGGUAGACAACCCCGGUAUCCAACCACUUGAUAAUAUCCUUCUUGACAACUUCUUGCACAGCCAUAUUGAGUCUCCUUUGAUGUUCAAUAGAUGGUUUGGCGCCAUCCUCCAACUUGAUCUUAUGUAUAAAAAGGUAGGGCUUAUCCCCCGAAUAUCCACCAAAAUCUACCCAAUAGCGUUCUUUAUCUUUUGUUGCACCGCAAUAUGGAAUCUACUCGCACGUUAGUCAAACAAGAGAAAAGAAUAAUUGGUAAAGUAGAAUAAGGACCAAGAAAUUCAUACCGCAGAUGUGGAGGCAAUGGCUUCAAUUCCAAGGUAGAAGGCUCUUCAAUAUAAGGCUUUGUAGGAGGAGUUGCCCUAUUUUCAAGAUCCAAGGACAAUUUCUGGGGUGCAUAGUUCUACGACCCCAUUCCUUGCAAAGAGUUCACACAUUCCGAAGCUAUCCAUCUCGUCAUCAUCAAAGUUGAGAAAGACGGCCUCCAACAUAUCACCAACAUUGAUUGUAGAACUUGUUUCAUCAACAAUAACAUCGAUCACCAAGUCCACAAAAGAACACACAUCAUUGCUAUUUGGUUGCCGCAUGGACUUGCACACAUGGAAUACCACUUUUUCAUCACCAACCCAAAAAGUGAGUUCUCUAGCUUCAACAUCACAAAGAGCCUUACCCGUAGCAAGGAAAGGUCUCCCAAGAAUAAUCGACACUUCAUAAUCAACCUCACAAUCUAGAUUGACAAAAUCCAUCGGAAGAAUGAAUUUAUCAACACGAACCAAAACAUCUUCGAUCACUCCCAAAGGCCUCUUCAUGGUACGAUCGGCCAUUUGCAAUCUCAUAGAGGUGGGUCUUGGUUGUGAAAUUCCCAAAGUCUUGAAAAUCGAAUAUGGCAUCAAAUUGAUACUUGCACAAGAUCACAAAGAGCUUUAGCAAACUCGACACUUUCAAUUGUACAAGGAAUCGUGAAAGCACAGGGAUCCUCCAACUUAGGAGCCAUUGAAUCCACAAUUGAACUCACUUGAUGGGUGACUUUUAUGGUCUCAAAAUUCAUUGACCGCUUCUUUGUCACAAGAUCCUUCAUAAGUUGUGCAUAACCAUGCAUUUAUUCUAAAGAUUCAACUAAUGGCACAUUGAUUGUGAGACUCUUCAUCAUUUGAAUGAACUUCUUGAAUUGAUUCUAACCAUUUUGCUUGUCAAGUCUUUGAGGGUAUGGAGGUGGAGGCUUAGGCAAUGAUGCAUUAACCUUUUGCACUACCAGCUCUGAAUAUCAAUAAUGUAUUCCCUAGACGGGUUCACCUCCUCUUGAGUCUCUUCCACACUAUCAUCAAUGUCAGUCCGAACUUCAUCAUUUGGUUGCACCAUAUUGUUCGAGAUCUCAUCUUCUUGCAUCGCUUUAUCAUCAUCAACAAGUUGCCUUCCACUUGAGGUGGGUGCAUUCCCGCCUCUUCCACUUCUUAUGAUAACCGGCAUGGCAUGCCCCGUGUUGUUACCACCCUUUGGGUUUACCACCGUGUCACUUGGUAGUGUCCCCCUUAGGAUGAGAAUUUAAAGCUUGAAAUAUUUGACCCAUAUGAACUUCGAGGUUGCGGAUCGAUGUGUUGUGAGGCAAGUUGGGCAUCCGAAUCAGCAUUCUUUUCCAUCAUUUGUUUGAACAUAUUUUCAAUACACCCCAUCUCAUUGUUUGAAGAACUCGAACCAUGGGAAGGAUAAGGAUGUGGGUUGCUUAGUUGUUGGUACAUUGAAGGCCUUUAAAAACCCGACCCCCGGUUGCCUUGAUUGUUACCUCCCCAAUUUCCUUGAUUGUUGUUGUUAUGCCGAUUCCUUUGAUUGUUGUUUACACUACAAUUUCCUUGAUUGUUAGAAUUCCAUUUUCCUUGAUUGUUUUGCGGUCGCCAUUGUUGUUGGCUUUGGCCUUGGAAGUUGUUUCUUCGCCCUUGAAAUUUUUUCCCAUAUUGCACUUCCUCUUCUUGUUCAUUAUGGGACUCAUCUUGCUCAAAUCCACUAUCUUCUUGCACAUAGUUCUCCACUCAAUUUUGCAGUUGUGGACCCUUAGUCCUCCUCUUGUUCACCAUCAUGUUCACUCCUUCAUAACAUUGACUUGCUUCGGAGUUUGCACUUGAUUUAGUUGGGCCUGUGCUAGUUGAGUCAUGGUAGUUGUUAAUUAGGCAAUGGCUUACCCAUGGUCUUGCAAUUCUUUGUGAAGGUGGAUCAUAUUCAGGUCACCUUGUGGAACAUUGGCCCGGGAUUGCCAAGCCGACUACCUUUCCUCCAUCUCAUCCAAAAUCUCACACGCCUCCACAUAAAGCGUAGUCAUAAAGUUCUCACUGGCUAAUUGAUUCACUUCACAUAGGUUGGUUGUGUUAAUCUAACAAUAGAAGGUUUGUUUAAUCAUGGUUUCCAUCAUAUCGUUGAUGGGACAUUCCUUAACCAUUAUUCUAUGGUGCUCCCAUAUCUCAUGUAGUAGUUCAUUCAGCUCUUGCUUGAAUGCCAGGAUCUCAUCUCGAAGUGUAGCCAUGUGUCGGGAAGAGAAGAACUUAGCAAUGAACUUUUCCGCUAACUCAUCCCAAGUGUGAAUUGAAUGGUUCGGCAAUCGUUCCAACCAAUCUAAAGCUUUCCCCCAUAGAGAGAAGGGAAAAAGCCUUAGCCUCAAUGUAUCCUCGGAGACAUUUGUUUGCUUGCUCCCCCAACAAGUGUCCACGAACCCCUCCAAAUGUUUAAAAGAAUUUUGUGUUGGAGCACCGGUGAAGAAACACUGUUGCUCAAGUAAAGUGAGCAUCACAUUGGUGAUUUGGAUGUUGCUUGCCCUAUUGCACUAGUAUAACCUUCAUUGUGCAAUAUCUGGUGUAGAGCCGCUCGUGGUGGAGGUAGGGAUGGAGCGGACACAUUGUCAUGAGGUACCCCGCCUCUCCGAUUGGCUUGUGGCUCAUGAGGUACCUCAUGUACUUGCUCUUCAUUCGCAUCCAAAUCCCCCAAAGGCAAAUUUUCGAGCUCAUUGUUCGCCAUGGUUGUACCUAAGAUUUCUCACACAAGUUAGUAACACAAAAUGAAAAGAAUACAUUCCAAAAACAAAUCCAAAUAUAUAGCUAACACCAUUUUAACUCCCCACCAAUGGCGCCAAAACUUGAUCCACGUCCAAUCCGCACUCAAUAGUUAGUGGAAACGGUCGUUGGAAGACUAAUACACAACAAGAGUCGGGAUCGAUUUCCACAUGGAGUUACUAGGGGUAUUAGGGAUAUACACUUGACGAAAGCGAAUGGAAUAACCAAAAUGCACUUCCACAAAAGGCUUUGAUUUCUAAUUCUAAUUUUACUCUAGCAAUUAUAAGCUAAGAAAAGAAACUAGAAGCGAAUGAUUGUUUUUGUUAUUUUUUCAAAUAGUUAAAAAGCCUAGGGAUUUGACCAUAACCUAAGUGUUCGCCUAAUGGGUUAAAUAAGUUAAUACUUGUUUUGUUGAUUGGGGUGUCUUAUAGAUCUUAACUCUACAUUACCCACUCAAUACCUCUUGAUCAAAGAUUGAUUUUUUCUAAUUUGGCUUUCUCAAGUCCAAAUGGGUAUCAAACAAAAUAGUUAGCUCAAGUUGGGUUCUCACUAUCUCUAGUUUGAACCUUUUAACUAGGCUAAUUAAACCCUCAAUUAGCACAAUUUCGUGUUAGCCAAGGUAUCCUAGACUAGGUUACUCUUUCUCAAGUAGAGACCAAGUCAAAAAGGCAUGAAUCAAUGUUUGCAACCAUUAAUUCUAAAAUUGAAGCAUAAACUAAGCUAAAUAAUCAACAUACAAUCAUAAACAAACAUUAAAUUAAGUAUCCAUAAGGCUUACACACUAGGGUUGGGUAACAACCCUAGUAAAAAUUUAGCUACUCAUAGUGAGAAUUGAAGAAAAUAAAGAAGAAAUGCUAAUUAAACUCAUAAUCUAAGAUUAAAAUUAUAAAAUAUAAUGUUUAAACAUUAAAAUAGUCACAAACUCCAUAAAAUGGUAAAAUGUAACGGCUACUAUAGCUCAAAACUUCGAAACUUGACCAAAAAAUGUGAAACUCGUUUAUUUAUAGUGGCCCAAAAUUCGCUGACAAAAAUGCCUCUCAGGAGGCUCUGCGGCUGCACAAUUCCAUGUGCGGUUCGCGGAUUUCUUCAGUUGGCAAGAUCUAGGAUUCUGCAACUGAACAAUUCUGAAUUGCGACUGCUAAGCAACUUCUGCGGCCGCACAAUUCUUGUGCGGUCCGCACUUCAACAAGGCUUCAGGUCUUGGUCUUUUUGCAGACUCUCUGAACUUUGAAUCAUUUGUCAGUGUAGACCUUGUUCUGCAGCCGCGCAAUUCUUGUGCGGUCCACACAUUGGCCAAAUUCUUGCUUGGCUAUUUCACUUGAUCUGCAGCUGUAGAUGGAAUUCUGCGGUCCACACUUUCUUCUGCGGCCGCAAAAGGUUUCUGCGGACCGCCCUUCUUUAGUUUUGCGCCCUUUCUUGCCUUGUGAUUUGGAACACUCAUUUUUGAGUUGGAUUUCAAUAUGGAAGACCAAACUUCCAACAUUCCUGCAAUUUGCACACUUUCAUUAGUUUCGGAAACAUAAAUCAAUACUUUCAGACUAAAAUAAAGCAAAAAGGGUGCUAAUAAGUAGUCAAAAUCCACUUAUCAGCCACCCAUAUCCAAUAUCAAGGUUAGUUAAUAUAUUGCAUCAAGAGGAAAAUAGGAGCUAAACUCGAAUAAGUGCCAAUCAAAUUGAACAAUUAAUUUCUGCUUGCUAAAUCCAACCAAAUACUAUUUAACAUUAUUUGCCUAAUAAUUUCUACAGUACAGUCAAUCCUCUCUAUAGCAGCCUCGUUUGUUCUGAUAUUUUUUAGCUUUUAUAAUGAAUGGAUGUUAUACACCUAUAACAGCAUUUGAAUUUUAAAUAUUUUUGGCCAUUAUAGAUAAAAAUUAUCCAAAAAUCAACUAUUUUUCUUUUUCCAAUGUUUUAUAUAAAAGAUAAGAAAUUAUUCAAAUUUAAAAUCUCAAAAUAUAUGCAUAUUUCAAUUAUUAAAUAUUGAAGAAAGCUAACAUUAUUAAUAUAUUCUUUACUAAACUUAUAAGGAUUUAAACUCCAAGGCACACAUUUUAAAGCUACUUAGGAAAAUAAAUUCUUUCAAGAUUAAUGGAAGAACUUUGUAAUUGUAGCUUGUUAUAUAGAUUUCAUUAUCUUACGGCGAUAUAAUACUUGAAUUGCUAAAGAUUUUUAUCUAUCCGGACUUAACAAAACCGUCAAACUCUAAUUCGAUGUCAAAUACGCAAAAGUCAAACUUGGUCAACUCUUCUAACUUAAGGCUUCAAACAUGAAAAUCAUUCAUCCAAACUAAUUCUAAAUCACCCGAAAACCGAAACCGACGAUACACGCAAGUCAUAAUAUAUCAUAUGAAGCUACUCUAGACUUCAAACAACUGAACAGAAUGCAAAUGCUUAAAACGAUUGGUUGGGUCGUUAAAUAAUUAAAUCAUUUAUCUGAUAUUGAGCCCAUUUGGAUUGGGGAAAAAGAAUUUAACAUAUUCUCUAGCUUCUCUCUAGCCGAUGGAGAGAGACAGUUCUGGUGCAAAUACUAACGGAGAACAAAAUCCGAGCAAAUCCUUUACCAAAAAGAUGGCAGACAAGAUAUCCAUGAUGGACGCGAUGCAAUCAUCAACACUGACAACUGAGGAAGCAGAUAUUCUCCACCGUAGUACACAAAAGCCAAAAACAAAUAGGAGCAUAGUAGAUCACAAGGUAAGCUUCAAAGACAGAGUACUUGAAAAUCAAUCAUUUGACCAUAUGGAUUUUUAUUAUGACAUGUUUAAUAACCUAUCUCUUAAUGAUGAGAACGAUAGUCCCACCAAUCACCCAAAUUUCAUACCCAUCUACUCGACUGAAAAACAAAGACUUUACAAACCUUAGACAAAAGCCCUAAUCAACAAACUCUUAGGUAUAAGGAUAGGUUAUAAUCUUCUUCGCACCAAAAUACAAAAAAAUGUGGAACACCUCUGACCUACUAAAACUUAUAGACCAUGGUAAUGAUUUUUAUCUUAUAAUAUUUUCUUCAGAAAACUUAUACACUACUGUCCUAAAUAAUGGACCAUGGUUUAUUGGUUCACAGUUCCUCUCCAUCAAGAAAUGGACACUGAAAUUUAAUCCAAACACUAUCCAGAUUACUUUUUCUACUAUAUGGGUGCCUUCAAGAGUUGCCUAUAGAAUAUUAUGACAUUUAUAUACCACAAAAAUUGGACACAAAAUUGGCACAGUUCUAAAAAUCGACAGUUGCACGGCACACACAACUCGAGGAAGGUAUGCCAGACUAUGUAUCUUAGCACCACUGGGCAAGCCUUGCCCAGGAAUGUUAUGAUUGGUGAAUACCUACAGGAAAUACACUAUGAGGAUGUAAACCCUUUAUGCAUCUCAUGCGGGUGCUUGGGCCACAGCCACUAUCAAUGCCCACAAACAAGAGUCGCCCAACCGAUAGAGACGUCAACCUAACAAGCACAACCAUCCCAAGACCAGUGAAAAAUAGUCACUUACACAAACAAGAGGUACGCUACUAAUAAAGCUCCAAAACUAGAUGUAGAUAGAAAAUAAACUUUACAUUGUGAACACGAAAAGGGACAUCUCCUAAGUCCAAGGAAAAAAUAAAUGACUCCUCAGGCAACAAAAGGGCAUUUACACUUCCCCAAAAUAACAAGUUUGUCAUCUUGAACGACCGUGUGUGCGAACUCCAAAACAAAAACCAAAAAAAAUAACAAUUCUGAAAUAUCAGAAAAAAUAUCUACUACACACUCCCUAUUCUAAUUUACUUCAAUUUCAGUUCCAACGGAACACAAGUAUCCUAAGAAAAAAACCCAUAAAAAGUAAAACACCUGCAAUUACACAACCUGCAGGGGCCCUACCAAACGUCACCCCAAAUGAACAGCCAACAAAAUUCCAAGUGUCAAAUCCACCCCCACCUCUAUCCAAUACCACUCACAUCACAUUUAAUGGACUGACCCCUAACGUUCCGCCUACCCCUAAACUUAAUCAUACCACCCAUACCUCUUCUAUUGCCCCUAACCCAACCCCUUUGACCUAACACUAGACGCAUGGUUACCAUUCCCCUAUUACCAUAUCCUUGAAGGAAUGCCCUUCAGAAACACCUCACACUCACACUCAACCAUCUCAAUCGCCACCAAAUACCAACACACUUAAAAAUACUGAGGCAGUACCACAGCUACCGCAGGAACCACUGCUACUACCAACAUCGGAACCACCACUAUGGACGCUAUCACAAGGAAAAAGAAGACUAUCAACCCAAAACCCAUCCACAAUAACUAGCUAUUACUUCCAAACGACGAUUAUCCUCGUCCCCACAAUUAUCAAUCACCAACUCUACUACAAUCAGAUGAACAACUAUAUGUGUGGCCUUAUAAACCAAAAGUGGACUACAACAUACCACAUUUAGCACGACAACAAUGCCAAUCACUCACAUGCAAACCAGUGCUUGUCGACCCUUACACAAUAACAGGCGGACCUGAUACUAGAAAUAACCUAAGGGCUAAUCCAAAUGAUACAAUAAGGCCUCUAUACCAACGAUCAAGCAAUAGCAGUUCUACAGCCACUUUACAUGCAGGAGAUAGUAGCCUUGGAUCUUUUCCAACAGAUAGGAUACCAUAACGAACAACAACAGCAGGAACACAAACCAUCUACUCAGAACUAGGAGGAGAAUACAUCCCUACAAGCCAACUGGUUGCUCUUGUCGCCAGAACAAGCUCUAUCGGAGAACCUGGAUAUCAACGAUUCCCUAACACUAAUAGAGACAUCAUCCCCUUUAAAUAUGGAGGAGGCAAUGGCUAUGGUGCUCGAAACAGAACAACUGAUGCCAAACAUCCUAGAUCAAAUUCUCCGAAAAUCACACUGCAGGAAUUACUGUCCAUGACCCUUAUUGAAAACAAAGAAAAAAGGUGUUUCAUCACUGUUCCAACAAAUGUCCUGAGGAUAGUAAUGAACAUCCACACCUACCCACUCUCAAUCCUUCACAAAUAUGCUAUCCUAAUAAUUCCAAACCUGGUAGUGGAGGACAUUGUGAUGGACCACCCAUUUGCGUAUGUCACUAGCUUCGGGAGGGAGUUCGAGGAUUGUCAAUGAGCCCCAGAUGAAGAUACUCCUUUGGAACUGUAGAGGGUGCAACAGCCCAGAGUUCAGGCAAAGUUUUAAGGAUCUCAUAGAAUGGAACAAGCCCUCCAUCGUAUGCCUUACAGAGACACACAUACAGAGCCACUAUGACCUCAUCGGCUUUGUUAAUUUAACUGACCUGUCUGAGAUUAGUACAGAUGGAUACUCUAGCGGUGCUUCAUUAAUGUGGAAACAGGAAGAGCUUACUACUGACCUCGUUGCCACCACUGACCAGGAAAUCCACGUCAAUAUCCAAGUAAGAGGCACAUCCCACAUUUGGCUUUUAUCUCUAGUUUACGCAAGCACAGAUCUCGCUAACAGAAGCAUAUUAUUGAAUAACUUAGAAACCAUUGCUAGAAACCAUACUUUGCUUUGGCUUCUCUGUGGGGAUUUUAAUGAAGUAACAUCGGCCUCCGAAAAGUUUGGAGGAAGGCCAAUUAAUAAUACCAGGGCUAAUACUUUUAUACAAUGCCUAAACAAUCUUGAUAUGAUUGACCUAGGGUUCAAGGGACCAGGUUCACGUGGUCAAAUAAAAGGAAAAUAAAGGGGCACCAAAUUCUGGAAAGAUUAGACCGCUUUCUUGCUAACCCGGAAUGGGUAGGGAUAUACCCAAAUGUGAUUGUGUCUCAUUUGCCACGUACGCACUCUAACCAUUUUCCUGUACUCUUGAAUCUAACAAAACCUAUAGGAAAAUCACAUCACGUAUUUCGCUUCGAAACAAUGUGGUUAAGCCACCCUAACUUUAAUGGUAUUGUCAAUCACCACUAGGAAAACAACAUUAACUACAGGAAUGUAUUAUCUUCCUUCACCAAACAUGUUGAGUCUUGUAAUAAGAGCACAUUUGGAAAGAAUCUUUAAAAAAAAUCUUACAAAAUAGAAUACUAGGUAUCCAAAAUAUACAUCCUACUCACAAAAGAGACGUCCACUUAGACCUUGAGGAAAAGCUCAUUUGCCAGUAUAAUGGCAUCCUAAAAACGAAGAGGAUUUCUGGAAACUAAAGUCCAGAGUCCAAUAGCUAAAUGAUGGCAAUGCGAAUACAAAAUUCUUCCACAUUUCAGUCAUUCAACGCAACAGAAAAAAUAGAAUUCUAGGGCUAAAUGAUUCGGUAGGUAACUGGACUUUCGACCUACAAAACAUUAGAAGCAUUAUCUUAAAAUAAUUUACAGAUAUCUACACUACUGAAUUAUCCUUUUGUUCUAAACAUAUUGCCCAUAACCUUAGCACUCUUAAUAUUCUCAGUGAUAGUGAUACAGAGUGCCUUAGUAGACACCUAAAUACACUCGAAAUUCACAAAGCUAUUAAUUCUUUUAAUCCACUCAAGGCACCCGGCCCAGAUGGUAUUCACCCGAUCUUUUUCCAAAAAUAUUGGGAAGACACAUGUCCCUCGAUCAUCAACAUCUGCUCAUAAGCUUUCCAAACCUUCUCCAUUGACCCGGAAAUAAACAAGACUUAUGUUUCCCUUAUCCCUAAAAUAAAAAACCCUCAAUACAUCACCUAUUAUCGACCCAUCAGUCUUUGUAAUACAAUCUACAAGACAAUCACAAAAACCAUAUUCAAUAGGAUACGACCUUUCCUUAAAAAGAUUAUCUGCCCUACUUAGUGCAAUUUCCUCCCUGGUUGACGGGCUAUUGAUAAUGCUAUUAUAGUUUAAGAAGCAAUCCACUCUUUUAAAAAGACCUUCGAUGGUAAAGGGAAAAUGAUGCUUAAAUUGGACCUAGAAAAGGUGUUUGACUACCUGGAAUGGUCAUUCAUUAGAAAUUUCCUAUAUGCCUUAACCUUCCCUGCCAAACUGAUUACCCUAAUUAUGAACUGCAUCUCAACAUCUUCUACUUCAGUAAUAGCCAAUGGCCAAUCAACAGAGGUCUUUGCACCCUCUCGAGAUAUACACCAAGGGUACCCACUUUCACCCUACCUCUUUAUCAUCUGUAUGUAAUCAAUUACUAGAAGCAUUGACCAUGCAGUAGACAUUUGUCAAUGAAAAUGUAUCAAACUUAGCCAAACAGGCCCGCCAUUUCCCACCUACUAUUCGCAGAUGACCUCAUACUAUUCUCUGAGGCAAAUGCAUCUAGUGCUGCUUCGAUCAUGAAUAUAUUCAACUCCAUCACUCAACAAUCCAACCAACGGAUAAACUUCUCAAAAUCAAAUAUUAUCUUCUCCGGGAAUGUAGAUAGAAAUACACAGAGCACUCUUUCCAUAAUGCUUUACAUUAAGGUAACGAACAAUGUAGGGAAGCAUCUUGGAUUCCCAAUCACUAAUCUACAACCUAGAAGCUCUGACUAUCAAUUCAUUCUUGAUAAAAUGAAUACAAGACUUAAGGGAUGGAAGGCAAAUUCCUAACUCAGGCAGGUAGAACCACUCUUAUCCGGUAGGUUCUGGCAGUUAUACCUACUCACUCUAUGUAACUCAACUAUCUGCCUACGGCUACUAGAAACCAUGUAUAUCGUAUUCAAAGGGAUUUCCUUUGGGACUCAACUCCAGAAAGAAAAAAAAGUACACCUUGUUAACUGGGACACUGUGAAAUUCCCAAAACAAGAAGGAGGACUGGGUCUUUUUAAUUCCAAGAGCAAAAAUCUAGCUCUUUUUUGCAGCAUUCUUUGACGGCUGCACUAUAGCCCCAAUAGAUUAUGGGCACAGGUGGUAUGUCACAAAUACAAGAAAAGACAGGAAUACAAAGACUUCACCACCACUGCGGCUGACUCCUAUGUAUGGAAAAGCCUUGCUAAAGCUCAUCCUUUCUUUGCAAAAGGAUUAGCCUGGAAUGUAGCAAGUGGAAACCACAUCAACCUUUGGAAGGAUAACUGGAUCAUCGCAUAGCUGCCUCUAAGGUUUCUCAUACAAGGUCCACUAACACAUACGGACGGGAACAAAUCUCUUACACAUAUUACAACCAAAUUCAAGAGAUCUAUGCCAACUAUGCUUUGAACUACCUACAAAUAUCCAAUCAUUAAUCCAUCACACCUACAUAUCAUUCUCUAAAAAUGCCUCGGAUAGUUUUUUUUAGAAACCAACCAAUGACGGAUCCUUCAUGUGAGCACGUGAUUUUUGCCUUAUAUGAAUUACUCCCAUAGUUUCAAAACAAAAUAAUUUCUUUUCAUUAUUUGCAACUUUAUGGAUUUUCGGGGCAUUUUCUGUUAAUUGUUUGCAAUUGUCUGUGCAUUUUUAUUUUUGUUUAAUUAGUGAAAAAUACAAAAAAAGGGUGUUGCAUGUGCAUUUAGGAGUUAAUUUUGCAUUUUUAUAAUUGUUUAGUAAUUAAGUUGUUUUAAAUAAAUAAAUCACCAAAAAAAUAGGUUAAUUUGCAUUUUUCAUUCUAAAUAUCAAUUUGGAGUAAUUUUCCUAUUAAUUGUUUGGUUAAUUAAUUUUGAUAAUUAUCAUUUAGGCUUAAUUAGUGUAUUUAGGUCAAUUAGGUUUUAGGAAUUAAUUUAGAUUUUUAUUAUUAUUUGAAGAAACAAAAAGAGAGAAAAACAACAAAAAGAAUUAAUUUGGAAAAAGGAAAAGAUUUUGAAAAGAAAAGAGAGAUCAGAUUUUAUAUUUGGGCCGAAGUUAAUUAAAAUUGUUAAGCCCAAAUCAAACACAGCCAAACCCACCCAAAACUCGUCCAAUAAAUCCCCACAACCCGGCCCAGACUACCCCUAAACCGGUCCAGAUCCCUCUCAUCCAAAACGACCCCGUUUAAUUGAGAAAUGAUCCCAGCCGUCAAGGUUCUCUCAUCCAACAGUUGGGAAGUUGGGGGUCAAUAAUAUAAAUAUUUCUAAACACCCCCUACCCCCCUUAGCCUCUCUCACCUCCAAACCCUAGAGAGCCAAAACCCUAGUCGCCCUAAUUUUCCCCACCGUCUCCGCCGCCCGCCGAAAAUCGCACCACGGCGGCGGUAAGUCUCUGAUGGCCUUCAAAUUUAUACCACAGCUUUGUCUCCCCUCCCUCUCCCCUAAUCCACAAAUGGUUCUCUCAGAAUCCUCCCUGAACGCCUCAAAUCUUGAAUCGAAGAUGAACCCUAAUUCCUCAAAAACUCAAAUCGUGCGAGUUAUUGAAGAUUGAGGCCGAAAUUGAUCUUAUUCAUGUGUUUUCACCUGAAAACACAUGAUUAAGACCCAUUUCAUUCAAAAUCUGAGGCUCAAGGAAUAACUUCAAGGCUUGCUUGUCCGAUUUUAGGUAUUUCCAGUUUUUUUUCCCUUUCCUGCAUUUCUUCUUCUUUUUAGUUCAAAUUCAUUUUCAUCUCAUCUUCGUCCCCUCUCUUUGUUGCUUUGUUAUGUGUUAAUCUCUCUUGUUUAUUCUCUUUUUUGGCAUGAUUAGCUUAACCACGAAUUUAGCCUAAUUAGUUUUGAUAACCGGUUCAUUUCUCUUUCUAUUGUGGAAUUUGACUCACUAGAGUUAGUCUUUUGUUUUUCUUUGGUUUGAUCUGUUUGUUAAUUUUUAGGGUUAGAUUAAUUUAAUCGGGUUCUUGAUUUCUGUUUCUUUUUUUGACUUAGUGGUGGUUUUAUUUAAUUUGUGUAAUCAGGCUCACUACUUUAGGAUUCGACUAGUUAAACUUUUGUGUGUUUUUCUUAUUAAUGUGUGAUUUGAGCUUGUUUCAUUGUAGUGGGUUAAGACUUCUUUCUUGAGGUUUGGGGUAAGGCAGACCUGGGCAUUAGAGGACCAUCCGUUCAGGCCCAGGUUUGGAAUCCAGCUAGCCAUUGAGCCAGCCUGACCAAGUAAGAGGAGGGUAAUUUCAGGGAACUUGGGGGGCAAUUUAGGAAGUUUAGGAUAGGGGAAUCUUAGGUAACUGAUUUAGAAGCCUCUAAUAGGGGUCUUUUAGGGAAUUUUAGAUUUUAACUUGGUUAGCAAGUCAAAAAAUCAGGGGCUAAGUAGCAAAAAGGAAAGUUAGGAGUGGUCUAAAAUGCAAAACCUAGCAUAUAUUGGUUGCCCUAGUAACUUGCCUAUAAAGGCAUAGUUACUUGAGGCUGAAGAAAAAAACGAAAAUCCAAGAGCUAAGAGACCUAAGGGAGAAAAAUACAGAAAAAGAAAAGCUGCUACUGUUCCAUUGAGACUUGGUUCUACACUUCGAAAUUUUCACUCUCUGAAUCAUUUCUUUUUCCUUUGUCUGGACUUUGAAAUGGUUUAAGGUUUAGUCAGUGAGGUCAGAUCUUGGUGUUUAUCGAGUUGGCUAUGUGUUUGAAGCUGGUGUUAGCUUGCUGAAUUGCAUUUUACUAGGUUUUGAACUGUGAAGUUACUGUUCCAUUGGAUUUGAAACUAAUUCUGCGGUUCCAUCACUGAAUCUGGGCUGUUUUGUUGAUGAUGUCGAUCUCUGCUGAAAUACAAACUGUUGAUCCUUCUUUAUUUACUUGUUCCUUCAAUUUCAGGUACUCAUCUCACCUUCCAAUGUAUGAAAAUGGAUGAAUAUGAAGAUUGGUUUACUUGAAUAGAGAUUUAUACUAAUAUAGUUGUUAUUCAAUGUUUUUGCACAUUCGAAAUUGUUUAGCUUAGCUUAAUUUUCUUAUACUCCUUUCUGUUUGUUCUGAAUAUGGACUGC